GUGACCUCAAAUCAGGUAGGAUUACCCGCUGAACUUAAGCAUAUCAAUAAGCGGAGGAAAAGAAACUAACAAGGAUUCCCCUAGUAACUGCGAGUGAAGCGGGAAAAGCUCAAAUUUAAAAUCUGGCAGCCUU
rnacentral:rRNA from 1 species